GCUGGGCUUGCUGGCUCUUGUCAGAGCCUUGCCUUGGAUUUCCAGAACAAGACAAACACCUCCCAGGAGAUAAAGAACAGAAGGAAGCCUGUGCCUGCAAACUCUUCCCAACGAGGAAACAAGCUCUAAAGAACCAGAAUAGCCACCUUGUGCGUGCAGUUACCUGGGAGCUGGAAGAGACGUCAGCUGUCAUCUCAUCUUCAUCUCACAGACUGAAACAGAGAACCAGAGAUAUGGAUUGAGCUGCCCGAGGUUGCAGAGCUGGUUCACAGCAGAGCUGGAAAAAAGCAACUGUACCUUCACUCUCUGCCAAAGACAUUUCCUUUGACCAUUCCAAGUUGUAUUUUUUUUCCACAGGAGAAAAUAAAACACAAUGAACUUGAACCAUGGAAUGCUUUUGUUAAUAAGAAAUGCAGCAACCAGUUUGUGACAAGCACUGUUUUAACAAAGAGUCAAGUGGGUCUGAGAAAAUGACCAGAAGGAAGGC